rnacentral:sRNA from 1 species
AGCAGUGCGAGAGGAUGCAGGCAGAGGCAGGGGCCAGAUGGUGCCGGGAGCCGCUUGGUGUCCUUGGUCUCCAUGCUCCAGAGGGCUCUCAGCCUUUGUGGGAGCCUCUUCCACACUCAGCGCUCACAGGGCCCAGCCCCGCUGCCACUGCAGGGGGCUAGAGAUGCCUCGUGGGGUUUUCCAGUAGCUUUCCAACUUGGUUUUGCAGGAACUUAACGCCAACCUGAGCAACCUAACCUCAGCGUUUGAAAAAGCAACAGCUGAGAAAAUCAAGUGUCAGCAAGAGGCCGAUGCCACGAACAGGGUGAUCUUACUGGCGAACAGGCUGGUGGGGGGAUUAGCAUCGGAAAACAUCCGCUGGGCUGAGUCUGUGGAGAACUUCAGGAGCCAGGGGGUCACGCUGUGUGGGGACGUCCUGCUCAUCUCUGCCUUCGUGUCCUACGUGGGCUACUUCACCAAGAAAUACCGGAAUGAGCUGAUGGAGAAAUUCUGGAUCCCUUACAUACAUAACUUAAAGGUCCCCAUCCCGAUCACGAAUGGCCUGGAUCCCUUGAGCCUGCUGACAGAUGAUGCAGACGUGGCCACCUGGAACAACCAGGGCCUCCCCAGCGACCGCAUGUCCACCGAGAAUGCCACCAUCCUGGGCAACACCGAGCGGUGGCCGCUGAUCGUGGACGCCCAGCUCCAAGGAAUCAAGUGGAUCAAAAACAAAUACAGGAAUGAACUGAAAGCCAUCCGCCUGGGACAGAAGAGCUACCUGGAUGUCAUCGAGCAGGCCAUCUCGGAAGGGGACACCUUGCUCAUUGAGAACAUCGGCGAAACCGUGGACCCCGUGCUGGACCCUCUACUGGGCAGGAACACGAUUAAAAAGGGAAAGUACAUUAAGAUUGGUGACAAGGAGGUGGAGUACCACCCCAAGUUCCGCCUGAUCCUACACACCAAGUACUUCAACCCACACUACAAGCCAGAGAUGCAGGCUCAGUGCACCCUCAUCAACUUCCUGGUCACCAGGGAUGGACUCGAGGACCAACUCUUGGCCGCUGUGGUGGCCAAA